rnacentral:snRNA from 1 species
UAACUCUGGUUUCUCUUCGAAACUCAUAAAUCUUGUGCGUAUUACUAAAGAUUUCCGUGGUGGGGAAUAAUUCAGUGCAGAUAAUAAUAAUAAUAAUAAUAAUUAUUAUUAUUAU